CUUUGUCUCUUGCUGCAGCUGGAGCUCCAGGUCUCAUUUUCACUGCUCUGUGUCUUCUGCUCCUAGAGGCCUAGCCUCUGUAGCCCUGUGACCUGCAGGUAUUGGGAGAUCCACAGCUAAAACGGGACGCCCUGGAAGCCUAGAAAUGUUUGUUUUCUAGGCAUACACCUGACCUGGAGGAGGACCACGGGCAAGACCUGAUCCCAUCAUAA
rnacentral:lncRNA from 1 species